CCAAUGGUAACAGAUUGGUUAAUCAGCACACAGCAAGGAAAAAUACCAUAUUCAAACAUUGCCACCUUCCCCAUGAUUUACGUUGAAGAUAUCCACAUAUCAAAAAUAGGAGAAUUUGAAAAACAAACAUUAACUAUCAAAUACCCCUGUUUUUAUUCAAUAAAGAACUCCUAGUCCUAGUCCAAGUAACCAAGAAGAGGAAAUGAGCCAAACCAACACAAACAAGUAAAUUCAUUGUGGGUGAGUAAAAGAAGAGAAUUAUAAUCACAAUAAUGAGGUAGCACCUAAGACUUUUACAUAUUUUUUUCAAAACUCACACCAAGAUUGAUGAAGGUGACCAGUUUAAUUCCAAAGGGGUGCACCUCUCUACUCAUAUAUAAACCAAAACCUCAAAUCCACUUCAUGCACCAUGCUUUUACCUUCUAGUACACCUUCCACCUCCUAUUCCAGACCCAAACUUUCUUUAGCACACAUAAAAUUAACUUCAUUUAUUGUUUUUCACACUCCUCCCUAAAAAAACCUAAAAAUAGAAAAUAACCAUUAAAAAAUUUCCCUUUUCAUAAAAUCCCAAAAGGGCAUGUUCGUGUGUGUUCAUUCACAUGAAUAAUAAACAAUCAUGUUUCAACUUCAACCCUAACCCUCAACCAAAACCACGACUCCAUGGUUAAGCAAGAACUUAAUUCCAUAGAUAUUUUUUUUUCAACAGGGACAAACAUGACAGCAGGAAGCCAGGAACUAUAAAAUUCAGUCACUCGUAUCAAAAAGCAAAACGGAAAAGACAAAAAAAAAAGGGGAACUUUAC
rnacentral:lncRNA from 1 species